rnacentral:tRNA from 1 species
AGCGGUUUAGGUUAAAAAAACCAUAAGAUUUCAAGUCUUAAAUUAAGAGAUUCUUAGACGCUA